UACGGAAGGAAGCAGUGGGGAAUAUUGCACAAUGGGCGCAAGCCUGAUGCAGCCAUGCCGCGUGUAUGAAAAAGGCCUUCGGGUUGUAAAGUACUUUCAGUCGUGAGGAAGGUGUUAAGGUUAAUAACCUUAGCAAUUGACGUUAGCGACAGAAGAAGCACCGGCUAACUCCGUGCCAGCAGCCGCGGUAAUACGGAGGGUGCGAGCGUUAAUCGGAAUUACUGGGCGUAAAGGGCACGCAGGCGGUUAAUUAAGUUGGAUGUGAAAUCCCCGGGCUUAACCUGGGAAUGGCAUUCAAGACUGGUUAGCUAGAGUCUUGUAGAGGGGGUAGAAUUCCAUGUGUAGCGGUGAAUGCGUAGAGAUGUGGAGGAAUACCGGUGGCGAAGGCGGCCCCUGGACAAAGACUGACGCUCAUGUGCGAAAGCGUGGGGAGCAAACAGGGAUUAGAUACC
rnacentral:rRNA from 1 species